rnacentral:piRNA from 1 species
AGGUGCCAUUCUGAAGGCCAGGAGU